rnacentral:rRNA from 1 species
AUUGAACGCUGGCGGCAGGCCUAACACAUGCAAGUCGAGCGAGCGGCGGGCGGGUGAGUAAUGCCUGGGAAUUGCCCAGUCGAGGGGGAUAACCGUGGGAAACGAGUGCUAAUACCACAUACGAUUGGGUUGCCCAGGUGGGAUGAGCUAGUUGGUGGGGUAAUGGCUCUCAAAGGCGACGCUCCCUAGCUGGUCUGAGAGGAUGAUCAGCCACACUGGAACUGAGACACGGUCCAGCAUCCUACGGGAGGCAGCAGUGGGGAAUAUUGCACAAUGGGGGAAACCUUGAUGCAGCCAGGCCGCGUGUGUGAAGAAGGCCUUCGGGUUGUAAAGCACUUUCAGCGAGGAGGCGUUACUCGCAGAAGAAGCACCGGCUAACUCCGUGCCAGCAGCCGCGGUAAUAC